rnacentral:lncRNA from 1 species
CCCAAUCCCUGGACACAUCUUUGGAGCCUGGCUGCUGUUGACGCUACUCCCAGCUGCUUUGGGUUCGGGUUUGACCUGGCCACAGUGAUUGGGUCCAGAACUAUUGAGAGCAAAUGAGACUGCUGCUGGGCUACAAAGAAGGAAGCCGGUAUUUUUUCCUGAUCCCGAACAUUACAGGAUAUAAGAUAGAACUGCUUCAGCCAUCUUGCCAUCAGAGAGGAAGGGCAGAUCCGAGAAUCCAGCCAAGACAGAGAAAGGAAUUAUACAGGCUUCAUCACAAGACUCUGGGACAUCUUUAUCGCCAAAAAGACAAAGGAAACUGAAUGAAUGGUCCUUACACACCUGGAUGCCACUCAGGUUGGGAUUAUUAAGUGAGGGCACUGAGUGCUCCUGGCCGAGAGCCGUGCUCCUCCUGGAGAGACAGGAUGGAUGACUACAUUCAGGAAAGGGAACCGGCAAGGAAUAGACAGGAGGCAUAAGGCCCUUCAUCUUGUUCGAUCUGGAGUCUUUUCUUACGUAAAAUUCAAGCUUUUGAAAGCAAUUCCCCACCUUAAAUCACAGAG